GGUUCUCGCUCAGCACCGAGUCAAGGUUCUCCAGCACGUUCACCACCAGCGGCAUGAGCUCCUUGACCACCUCCUCAUCAUAGCAGUGAAUGAGGCGCUCGAACUCGCGGUAGAUGGAGCCCGCCAGGCCCGACACACGCUCCGACAUCACCGAGCCGGAGCAGUAGUCAUCUUGGUACACCACCACACCGCCUCCCUCGUCCAUCUGGAUCUCCAUCAUCGCGGCUACCGCCGCCGCCGCCAGCGCGGCUCGCUCUGGUGCCCGAGUCCACGGGCCGCUGUCACCUCAGGCAGCCACCACCUUAGGAUGCGCCGCCGCCCAGGCCGCGCCCGUCACUCCCUUGCCGGAAGUCCCGCCUGGCCGCGGGGGUGGAGUCCGUCCCGCCCCGCCCCGAGUCGAGCGUCCUGACGCUAAAGGAAACAGGGCUGCAGCAUUUCCGGCUGCGUUGCUGGUGGCGCUAGAGGACCUAGCUCAGUUGGGUUAUAGUGAACCUGGUUGCUUCUAUAUCUCUGUUCUGUUGGUCUUCAGACCUCUGUCAUACUCUGACCACCCUCGACGUUCACGCGACUUGUGUCGUGUGCCCUGUUUCUGGUUCUUUCCCGCUCCUACUGGUCGCUUAGUUCCAUGCACUGUUUCAUUUGCACAGCCCACCAGGGUUCUAAGAUCCUUAUGUGUGGUGGUAAUUUGAGACCGGAAUAUAAAGCGAGUUGAUCUGUGUUCAUUUGCUGGGGACACCAUGAACCUGACUUCGAACUGCUUUCUUGCUAACGUGGUUUUCCCCCCAUGCCUGCUUCCACUUGAAAGCCUUCCAGACUUGUGCACGUUCCUGGUGUCUGUAAAGGCCAGAAGAGGGCGUCUGAAUUGGCAUUUACAGUCAGUUUCGAGCAGCCAUAAGGAUGGCCAGAAUUGAACAGAGGUCCUCCCGUGUACUCCCAACUGCUGAGCCUUCUCUCAAGCCAGAUGUCCAGAACACUUAAAAACGUUGUCCACGGGUUGGAGAGAUGGCUCAGUGAUUAAGAGCACUGACUGCUCUUCCAGAGGUCCUGAGUUCAAUUCCCAGCAACCACAUGGUGGCUCGCAAACAUCUACAAUGUGAUCCAAUACCCUCUUCAGGUAUGUCUGAAGACAGUGACAGUGUACUCAUAUACAUAAAGUAAAUCUUUAAAAAAAACGUUGUCCACCCUUUCAUAUAUAAAGUCUUACUGUGUAGCACUGGCUGACCUGGAACUUACUAUGCCUGGCUUCUGCCAUUCAGUAUACACCAUUACCUGAGGCUGUAAUUCCCUCAUCUUUCCAAACAUAGAAAAAUACCUACUCUAAGAGAUUGUUUUGUAACAGGCCCCAGACCUUAGCACAACUGACUCCAUGAUAGAAGUACCAUUCAGGCUGUAGAACUCAGCACGUAGACAGCACGACCUGCCAAAAAAUGAAGACCUAAUCCAUCAGCGUCCAUAGUUGUGAGAAAGUCUCUAAAUUAAUCUUGCUUUUUGGCUUCUGUAGUUCUGCUUCUGGCUAACUGUUGUUAACUGAAGCCAAUCCAGAACAUGGCUUUGUGCUUAAAAGCUCAUCCCGAGAAAGGUUCAAGGCCUUUCUUGUUUGGGAUCCUAAACAAACAGUGUAGUCACCAGCCAGCUAAUAAAAGACUUUUAUUGGCUUAAACCCAGCUCUGAGCAGUCUUCCCUGGUGAAUGAAUAUCCCACACUUUCAGAUUAUCUGGGUUUGGUACUGAUUUAACCUUCCAAGCCCGCAAAGCUAAGCCUACAUAUUAUGAACCAACCAGGAAAACAGGGUAGUGUGAAAGGGGCAUAGUGCAGUAGUACUUUUAGUGACUGUUAUCCGAGCCAGUUUUAUUAUUUUAUUUUUUUGGUUUUUUUUUUUUUUUUUUGGAGCUGGGGACCGAACCCAGGGCCUUGCGCUUCCUAGGUAAGCGCUCUACCACUGAGCUAAAUCCCCAGCCUAUUAUUUUAUUAUUUAAUGUAUAUGUAUAUGGUGUUUCAUUUGUAUGUGCCCGGUGCUCACAGAAACCAGAAGGCAGCACUGGAUCCCCUGGAACUGGUAUUAACUAAGAGUUUUGAGUGUCACAUGGGUUCUGGAAAUAGAAUCUGGGUCCUCUGGCAGAGCAGCCAGUGGUCUACCCACAGAGCUAUCUUUCCAGUCUCACCUGAGUUAAUUUUAAAUUGCCAAAAUUAGGAAUCAGGACAAAUAGAUUGAAUGAUAAAAUUUUUAAGUUUUUUUUUUUAGAUUUAUUAACUUUGUAUGUAUGGUAUGAGUGUUUUGCCUGCCUAUGUAUUCAUCACAUGAAUGCCUGGUGUCCAUAGAGGCCAAAAGUCAUCAGAUCUCCCCAGAACUGGAAUUACAGUUGCGAGCUACCAUGUGGUUACCGGGAACUGAACUCAGGAUCUCUGGAAGAGCAGUCAGUGCUUUUUUUUUCUUUUUCUUUUUUUCGGAGCUGGGGACCGAACCCAGGGCCUUGCGUUUGCUAGGCAAGCGCUCUACCACUGAGCUAAAUCCCCAACCCCGCAGUCAGUGCUCUUAAGCACUGAGCCAUCUCUCCAGUCCCCUGGUAAACAAAUUUGUUUCAGGUCUCAGCAACUUGAACCCCAUAAAUUCUUUUUUUGAGACAGGGUCUAUAUAGACUUGUCUGUCCUGGAACUUACAUUGUAGACCAGAUUAUCUUCUAAAUUCACAGGGAUUACCUGUCUCUGCCACCCAAGUACUGGGACCAAAGGCAUGAGCUACUAUACCCCAUCCCUGUAAAUUCUUAAAGCUAGUACCCUACAAUGAGGGCAACUCCCACCAACACAGGGACAGACUGACUUGAAUAUUGACUAAAAAAGGGGGGGGGCGGGGUUUGAGACAGGGUCUCCUUCCAUAGAUCUCACUGUCCCAGAACUAUGUGGACUAUUCUGGCCUUGAACUUUACUGAGAGAUCAGCCUGCCUCCCAAGUGCUCACAUCAAAGGUGUGUAUCACAAGUUCUAGUGCUCCUUUGUUAUGACCCAGGGCAAGUUUGUCGUUUGGAACUAAUCAAAGUGAAUUUAAAAAAAAAAAAAAAAAACGGUUCCCCCCCACCCCCACCCAAGGCAGGGUUUCCCUGUGUAGCCCUGACUGUCCUGGAAGCUCUGUAGAUCAGGCUGACCUCAAAUGCAGAAAUCCAUCUGCCUCUGCCUCCCAAGUGCUGGGAUUAAAGGUGUGAGCCACCAAUAUCUGACUUAAAAAAUUAUUUUAAAGUUAUGCCUAUGUAGUAGAUAUGUGUAUAUGAAUGCAGGUUCCUAUCCAAUGGAUGCCAUCAGAUUCACCAGAGCUGGAGGUGUAGGUGGUUGUGAGCCACCCUUCCUGGAUGCUUGGAACUGACCUCCAGUUCUUUGAGAAAGUAUCAAGAUUGAAUUAUAACAAUGACGUAACAGGCACUUUCUGAAUGCUAUUGCUUAUCUGAUCCUAGAUGUUGGAAGCUUUAUUAGAAUACUUUUUAAAAGGCCCUAAAGUGUAAGCUGGAUAGUCCUUCCAUAGCCUCAGGCAUUUGAAUACUGGAUUCCAGUUGCAGAUGCUAUGCUGUUUUGGGAGGCUUAGAAGUGUGGUCUUGCUCAAGGAGUUUUUCAACAGGACAGACUUCAAAGUUUGGGCUAUUUGCUCUGCCCCCAUGCUUGCUGGCUUGUUGCCAUGCAGGUGAUGGUCUCAUCCCUCUGGAAAUGUAAGCCCAGAUGGACACUUUCUUCUACAAGUUGCCUUGGUCUUGUUUUAUCACAGCGAUAGAAAAGGAAUGCAUGUCCAAAGUUCUACUGUAAUCAUGUGCCGAAUAUCUCCCAAAGCCCAAAUCUGUCACAUCCCUUCCAUUCCUUUGUGAGCGAGAUUUGAGAUAGCACUGCAUGGUCUAUGCAAAGGACUAGAGCAUUUCAUCAUUCAUUGCUUGGAAGCUAGUUUAGGAGCCAACACAAAAGACUGUAAUUCCAGUAGCAUUUCUAAGAGUGAGAUUUGAGGUGGCGAUUCUCAGGUAGAGCUUCUAGAGACAUGCCCCCAUUUUUAAGUGCCUACCUAAGGGCUGAAGCAGUUGCUAAUAUGUGAUAUGUCAUUGUCAUGUCAGUUUCUAACCCAGUUCAUGGAACUCGCUACAUUUCUAAUUAUGUUAGACGAGCAAGGUGAGAUGUUUUGGGUAUCACACUGGUCACCCGGUCUACCAUACUCCUGGCUGUCUUCAAAUUCAAGAGAUCCAGCUGCUUCUCUUGGACUUCCAAGUGCUGGCAUUAAAGGUGUUUAUGGCCAUUCCUAGCUUGUGAAGUGUUGGCUUUUAUCUUAAGCCUUGGUCCAGCAUUCAGAAUGUGAAAUUUCAGAGAUUCUCCCAAGUAGGCUGUCAUCCUGACACAAUCCAUGUGUUUUAGUUAGGGUUUUACUGCUGUGAACAGACACCAGAGAGGAAAACAUUUAAUUUGGGACUGGCUUACAGGUUCAGUCCAUUAUCAUCCAGGUGGGAGGUAUGGUAGCAUCUAGACAGGUAUGGUGCAGGCAGAGCUGAGAGUUCUACAUCUUUAUCUAAAGGCUACUAGUGAAGACUGACUUCUAGGCAGCUAGGAUGAAGGUCUUAAAGGCCACACCCACAGUGACACACCUACUCCAACAGGUCCACACCUUCUAAUAAUACCACUCUCUGGACCAAGCAUAUACAAACCAUCACACCAUGUAAUUUACAUCUAGAUACGGAGUCUGCUUGUUGACCAUAUAAAGGUGUAUUUUCUCUACAGGGCUUUGCUCUAACACAGCCAAAUAGCUGGCCACCCCCAACCUAGUUACUACAAGACUUGUUACUGGGUCACUCUGAAGCCAAAUUGGAGCAGGUUUUCUCAUAUUACUUGUCCUAAAGAAUAAACUCCAACUACAGAAAACUAGUAGAUUACAGCGUAUCCCCAAUUAAUUCUGUUCAAAUCUUAAAGCUGAUUAUCCUGGCAUUUCUAGAUCAAGAGCAAGGAAGGGAGAAAUGAACUGCUAUACCAAUGGGAAGCUAUGAAGAAGGAUCAGAGUUUAGCAUUGUCCCCCCACUGCUCAACUGGACUACAGAGAAGCAUAUACACAUAAAUACACACGGCUGUAUGUUAUUACUAAGUUUAAUUCAACCAUUAUACCCAGUUCUGCCUCAUAAAAAAAUAACAAAACGUUCCUAUCAAAAUUGCAUUAUGAUGUAAGAACAGGUUUCUUGCUCUGACACAGCAAUAGAAAAAUGUUGGCACCAAAUACACUUAAAAGUUUUAAGGCUUAAUGUAGGUGACAAUUUAUACCACUGGAUUCAGCUGGGCACUCGUUUACAGAUUUACACUCUGAACCCUGCUGCAGCAGAAAGAUGGAGAGACAAAUAAGGCAGCCCCUGCUGUGGGUCACUGUCACAGGUUCCCAUAUCCUCCCAGCAAU